GACGAACGCUGGCGGCGUGCUUAACACAUGCAAGUCGAGAGGAGCGGCGAACGGGUGAGUAACGCGUGAGUAACUGCCCCCCUCUCGGGGAUAACAGUUGGAAACGGCUGCUAAUACCGGAUAGUGGGGGAUGCCUCGCGUCCUAUCAGCUUGUGGGUGGGGUAGUGGCCUACCAAGGCGACGACGGGUAGCCGGCCUGAGAGGGCGACCGGCCACAUUGGGCUGAGAUACGGCCCGAACUCCUACGGGAGGCAGCAGUGGGGAAUAUUACCCCAUGGGGGAAUCCCUGAUGCAGCAACGCCGCGGGCGGGAUGACUGCCUUCGGGUUGUAAACCGCUUUCAGCCAUGACGCGGGAGUUGCAGAAGAAGCACCGGCUAACUACGUGCCAGCCGCCGCGGUAAUUC
rnacentral:rRNA from 1 species